rnacentral:lncRNA from 1 species
GGGCUUCCCGGGUCCCCCUGGCGGGGGCGGAGGGCUUUCCCCGGGAGCGCCCGCUCACAUUUGCACGUUCUCCCGAACAUGAGGGGCUGGCGCCCCUGGCCGCCAGGUCCGGGGCUCUGACGCUCAGGCGGUCCAGCAGCCUGAGUGGACCUGCAGUACAGACACAAAGCAAAGGCGGGUCACGAAUGCGCAGACGCCAAGCAUCCUUAUCGAGACCAGACUGCAGUGGCUGGGUGAGGGGCCUGGUAGUCAUCUGACUGCCAAUUAAUACCGUGGCGACGACUCGACUGAAUAAUCGCCGCCCUUGGACAGGGUGUUUAAACUUAGCUAUACUGACUAAUCGCUCUCUAAUAAACCACUAAAAGUUACACUUUGAA